rnacentral:rRNA from 1 species
UACGAAGGGGGCUAGCGUUGCUCGGAAUUACUGGGCGUAAAGGGCGCGUAGGCGGGUCGUUUAGUUGGGGUGAAAGCCCAGGGCUCAACCCUGGAACUGCCUUCAAUACUGGCGGCCUAGAGUAUGACAGAGGUGUGUGGAACUCCGAGUGUAGAGGUGAAAUUCGUAGAUAUUGGGAAGAACACCGGUGGCGAAGGCGGCUCACUGGCUCGUAACUGACGCUCAUGCACGCAGCGUGGGGAUCAAACAGG